AGCAAUUCAUUUAAUUUUGAACUAUAACAAAAACAAUAUUCUUUGUGUUGUGUGUGUUUUUGUGGUUUGGAAUGUAUGAUUCACGCACUAUGGAACUGCUGUGCGUGCUGACGACGGUGCAACAAAAAGACCUAAGGAAGGAAGGCGGAACUCCCUAUACCUGAUGGAAGAUGCUGAAUGUGGAGAAGGAGGAUUUUUAAAGGCCCUUACUGCGCACGUCUAUCUACGCAGAUGGCGCACUGCAGUGACGCAAUCAGAACAUAGCGGCAAACAAGAAUAAAAAAUAAUGUAAUUUUAUGUAUUUAAGCUGAUAAAGA